rnacentral:rRNA from 1 species
UACCGAUCGGCGGUUUCAUAAGUCUUUUGGUAAAAUCCAGGGGCUCAACUCCUGGCGUGCCGGGGAAACUAUGAGACUUGAGGGGCAAAGAGGAAGCUGGAACGAACGGUGUAGCAGUGAAAUGCGUUGAUAUCGUUCGGAACACCGAUAGCGAAGGCAAGCUUCUGGGUGCCACCUGACGCUGCUAGGACGAAAGCGUGGGGAGCGAAUGGGAUUAGAUACCCCAGUAGUCCACGCUGUAAACGAUGAUGACUAGGCAUAAGAGAGUAUCGACCCUCUUUCGUGCCGAAGCUAACGCAUUAAGUCAUCCGCCUGGGGAGUACGGUCGCAAGACUAAA